AGAUUAUCUCGCGAGAUAGUGGUGACGUCACGCGUUCUUCCGGAAGUUCACAUUCAAACACGAGGAGCGAUUACGAGGGAGUUUUGUCUAUAUAUCAUUCAAAAUCUACUGUUGGGAAAAGCAGAACCUCAUCCAAAUAAAAAAUAAACAAGCUGUUAAAGGCACUGUGUCCUACACAGACCCUCCAAAAUAUAACCACCCAAAACCCAAGUCAGUUGAAGGUCAACACAAACCAAAUAAAGAUGUGCAUUCUACAAACAAUAAAAAAAGAUCAAGUUUUGUGUCCACCACACUUAGAUGAGGCGUGCCCGACCCCUGACUUUGUCUACCCUACAUUAAGUUGCACACUUCAUGACAGUAAACAUCGGUAUCACAAUGGUGUGAUUGAUCUAUACCCUAGAAUAAGCUGUGACACUAUGAGACGUGAGGUAACACAACGAAAAAAUUACCGGAUGGAGACUACCUGAUUCUUCACCUAUGGCCUCACCUUCAAAUGCAACAUGUCCAGCAACUGUCUGAGUUGGUGGAUAUUCUGUCAGAGACUGCGUGAACAACGUUAUGAACAAAUGAUGUCAAAUUGUCUUAUGGCAAAGUUCAAUAUGAGGGGUGGUGGACAUCUGGAAAAGAAGUCUUUUAAAGGCACACCUUUGUAUUAUGUUAUUCAAGAUGCUGUGAAGAGGUGGAGCCCAAAUGCCACAGACUCGGAAAUAGAUGCAGCUAUGGCAGACCACCUCAAGCACGCUCCAGGAAGAGCUGGGGGUGGUGGAUACAAAAAAGCCAAACAGCUGUGAUGUGUUAAAGAGAGAGUUCACCAAAAAAGGAAAAUUGUUAUAAUUUUCUUAUCCACAUGUUUCAAACCUGUAUACCUUUAUAUUUUCUGCUGAACACAAAGAUUGAAGAAUGUUUGUAACUUCACAACCAAUUAACUGUCAAUAUUUUUUUUUACAAUUGUAGUAAUGGGUUGUGGGAUCUGCUUUGUUAAAAACAUUCUUUCACAUAUCUUUGUGUUCAGCAGAACAUAGAAGGGUAUACAGGUUUGAAACAUGAGAGGGAAUAAAUGACUAAAUAUUAAUUUUUGGGUGAACUAUCCCUUUAUAGAAAGUGUUUUGAAGUUGUUAUUAUAGUUAAAUGGUUAAAAAAAUAAAAAGUGCUAAAUCAGAACAUGCUUCUUUU